GGGGCCGUAACUCAGUGGGAGAGUAUCACGUUGACAUCGUGGGAGUCGUUGGUUCAAAUCCAAUCGGCCCCA
rnacentral:tRNA from 1 species